CACAAAUUGGCCACCUAAGUUAUCUCAAGACCCUUCACUUGUUCGAGAAUCAACUAAGUGGCUCAAUUCCUCAUGAAAUAGGUAGAUUAAAUUCUCUAAACAACCUUUCUUUGCACUCAAAUUAUUUAGAAGAUUUAAUCCCGCAGUCUUUGGGUAACUUAACCAACUUGGUUACCUUGUAUAUUCAUAACAAUUCACUUUCUGGCUUAAUUCCAAGUGAAAUAGGAAACUUGAAGUCUCUUUCUAAUCUAGCAUUGAGCAGUAAUAAACUUAGUGGCUCAAUCCCUCAAUCUUUGGGCAAUUUGAGCAACUUAGCUAUGUUGUAUCUUUAUAGCAAUUUACUUUUUGGUUCAAUUCCAAGUGAAUUAGGAAACCUGAAGUCUCUUUCUGAUCUAGAAUUGGGCAACAAUAAACUCAGUGGCUCGAUUCCUCAUUCUUUGGGUAACUUAACCAACUUGGUUACCUUGUAUAUUCAUAACAAUUCACUUUCUGGCUUAAUUCCAAGUGAAAUAGGAAACUUGAAGUCUCUUUCUAAUCUAGCAUUGAGCAGUAAUAAACUUAGUGGCUCAAUCCCUCAAUCUUUGGGCAAUUUG
rnacentral:lncRNA from 1 species